CAAUAGUUUUUUCUUUAUUCAAAGACAGCAGGCGCUGUAUGCUUAAUGGAUUUUCCGGCCUGCCGAGAAUAAGGUUCGAUAUGCAUUUGUGUGUUGAAGGCCUUUUCUGCGGCAGCGGGAAAGGCCUUUUACGUUGCGUGU
rfam:Clostridium sp. W14A NODE_7, whole genome shotgun sequence.